CAUUGAAAGAUUUAGAUUUUGUGAAAAACUAUGCCUAAAUACGUCAAGAAAUGUUGUGUUCCAAAUUGUAAAGACACUCAUAGUAGAAGACAUCAAUUUCCAAAGUUUCAACCUCAACUUUUUAAUCUAUGGUUGCAAAAUAUCAGUAAUGUUAAGUUAAAUAGCCUUAGUAAAGACAAUGUAUAUAAAUCCUAUAAAGUUUGUGAAAGACACUUUAAAAAAAGCUGUAUUGUGCCAGGUACUCGUAAAGGGCUUGUUGUUAAUGCAGUACCAACACUUUAUCUUCCUGGGAGUCCUGAAGAUAAUGUAAUUCUACAAGACGAGCAAAAUAAGAAUGCAUCAACCUCGGCAUCAACAUUUACUGACCAUGAUUAUUGUUUGUUAGAAAGCAAUUCUGACUUAAGAGCUUUCCAAGAUAUUUUUACAACUCCUGAACUUUCAACAUCUCUGAGUGAAAUUGAUAACCAGCUGAGUGAUAAACCAUCUGUAUCUGGAAAUGUUGGAUCCAAGAGAAAAAGGAAAGGUAAAUUUGGAUGCCAGGUACUGCAAGUUUCUCUUUUUAUUGCU
rnacentral:lncRNA from 1 species